rnacentral:rRNA from 1 species
GUCGAGCGGAUGAAAGGAGCUUGCUCCUGGAUUCAGCGGCGGACGGGUGAGUAAUGCCUAGGAAUCUGCCUGGUAGUGGGGGACAACGUUUCGAAAGGAACGCUAAUACCGCAUACGUCCUACGGGAGAAAGCAGGGGACCUUCGGGCCUUGCGCUAUCAGAUGAGCCUAGUGUCGGAUUAGCUAGUUGGUGAGGUAAUGGCUCACCAAGGCGACGAUCCGUAACUGGUCUGAGAGGAUGAUCAGUCACACUGGAACUGAGACACGGUCCAGACUCCUACGGGAGGCAGCCAGUUGGGGAACUAUUGGACAAUGGGCGAAAGCCUGAUCCAGCCAUGCCGCGUGUGUGAAGAAGGUCUUCGGAUUGUAAAGCACUUUAAGUUGGGAGGAACGGGUUGAGAGUUAAUACUCUGCAAUUAUUUGACGUUACCGACAGAAUAAGCACCGGUAAUCUGUGCCAGCAGCGGGUAAUACAGAGGGUGCAA